rnacentral:lncRNA from 1 species
CCGCCCCUCCCCCUCGUGGCUCUCCACUUCCCUAGGGCACUGAAACUGUCCACCGAGGUCGUCUCACUUCCUCAGGCUCCCUCCUGCUUUGCUCUGGGCAGGAAAAAGUUAUCUCUCUUCCUGCAGUGCCGUGGAUUCGGCUGGAGCGACGGCAUAUGGGGUAAAAUUUAGGGGCUGGAGAAAGAAUCCAGAGCCGCCUUUCUGAGGGGCUUUCUAGGAAGGAGGGGUUUUCCCUCAAGAGGUCUCCUGUUCCUAUCCAACGCAGGGAGGAACUCUGUGACAGGGAAUAAAACUUGCGGCUAGCUCUUUUGGAAGUUCAGCCUGUGAUCGCACUGAGUUCUACAGUGUCUACUCAAGAAGUGUGAGGACCAGCUAGCUACCAUGCCCAGGAGAGGUUUGACUUCUGGCGGUUUCACCUCUGAUGGCUGCACAACCAAACACUGUGUAUGUGUGUGGCAUAUUUCUUGAAAAGCUUUCUUCAGAUCCUCUGCAUGUUCAUGUCUCGGAGAAGCGUCCGUGGGGAAGGAUUUGGCAUCGUGAGUGUACAGCUCAGAGUUGGUGAAUAGAAUGUGAACAUUGUUAACUUCAUUACACAUCAUGACAUCACAUCCUCCCAGCUUGCCCGUGUUGAAGAACUCCGUUUCUUUCAACCCAGGUCGCUAAUGCCUCUGUUGGAGAAUUGUUUUCCUCUCAAAACAACCAGGGGAUGAGCUGAACUGGUAACUCAGGCUUCCAUGGGCUUCCGGUAGCCCUCUAUGCAGCCUGGCACCCCAACUUUCCACCAGCCGGAAGAAAGCUACACUCCUCAGCCUGAGGCAGGUGCUUUCUUCCAGGCCAUCUUCUACCUUCCUGAAGUGCCUUCUCCUGGUCCUUUGGUCCCUUCCUUUGUCUCAGCUGCAUGUGCAAGAUUUUAUAGAAAGUAAAGACAAUCCUUCCAUUACCAGGGUAUGCAGGGCCCUGGAGGAUGUAUUGUUGGAAUUCUGUGGCUUUCUUUCCUUUAAGAAUGUACAGA